AUACCUUCUCGGUCUUUUGGCUAAGACCAAGUGUAGUAAAGGGGGGGGGUUGCAAGAACGUGCUUGGAAUGGGUAUGUGCUCAACACCGCAC